CUUUAUUGUAGUUUUCUGGAAUUGGAAGAAUUACUAGCUUCAUUAUAGCUUUGCCUCAAGUUAUUCCUACAAUUUUCUUACAGAAUGCCACUAUUUGGUAGAUAUAGUGUGAAGCUGUUCCCAUGGAAAGAUCACUACCUGCUGAAGGCAUAUGUGUGGAUCUGGCUGCCCACCUUUGCUGUGGGCUAGGAUGGUCCGGCCAUAGAAGCUGAAAAUGAUGCUGCCCCGGGAAGAUGUGAAGCAGGAGGCUAACUGGGGCAAUUGACACUCCCACCUAAACAGCCUGGCUCCCUGCAGUUUUAUGAGGAGUUGAGCAUUUGAUAGAUAUAUCAAUAUAGUUCUGUACUGUGUCUUUUGCACUUAUGUCCUAAAUAAGUUUGGUUCCACUCAGUUUA